UGGGAUCUCGAUGCUGGAAUCCUUUAUAACUAUUUUCAAAUUAUUCAAGGAGUUCCACCAGAGUAUUGAAUCG
rnacentral:pre_miRNA from 1 species